AUACCAUUUGAUGCCAAGUGUACAAUAAAAACUGAAAUGACAAUUGACAUCAGAAGUGUCAUGGUCUUGGUGGAAAAUGCUGUGUUCUUCGUUGACCUCUGGUUUAAUAAUAGCUGGUGAUAGAAAACUAUCAGGAAUGCUUCAAGCUGGCAAUGGAGGGAAAUGUAAAAGACACUGAGAAAUCACAAGGUUUCAAACAUCUAGAAUAUGCUCACAGUCAGUCUUCAAGAUACUCACCUUAAUGGUUCCAGUGUGUUUUAGGAGACUUUGUCAGAACAGUACUUUAUACCUACAUACACUGGAGAUACCAAGACCUAGCAGAUAACUACAUAUAUAUUGACACAGAACAUGAAAUUCAUUGCAUAU